rnacentral:rRNA from 1 species
CCCUGGCGGCGUGGCUAGACUUCAAGUCGGACGAGAUUUUCCGCUGUAGCAAUACAGUGGAAAGUCUAGUGGCGAACGGGUGCUUAACACGUGGGCAACCUGCCAGGAAGUGGGGGAUAGCCUCGCCGAAAGGCGAAUUAAUACCGCAUGUGAUUAGAGAGGACAUCCUUUCGAAAUUAAAGCUGGGGCAACCUAGCGCUUCUUGUGGGGCCCGCGGCCUAUCAGCUAGUUGGUGAGGUAACGGCUCACCAAGGCUUUGACGGGUAGCUGGUCUGAGAGGACGACCAGCCACACUGGGACUGAGACACGGCCCAGACACCUACGGGUGGCAGCAGUCGAGAAUUUUUGACAAUGGGGGAAACCCUGAUCGAGCGACGCCGCGUGGAGGAUGAAGGUCUUCGGAUUGUAAACUCCUGUCAUUGGGGAACAAGGUGCAUACGUUAACUGCGUGUGCAUUGAUAGUACCCGAAGAGGAAGAGACGGCUAACUCUGUGCCAGCAGCCGCGGUAAUACAGAGGUC